CACUUUCCUCGUGGCAUGUAUCGAACAUGCUGCUUGACUUUAGGGGAAAUCGAGCAAUGAGAGACAUGAAUGCAGAACUGUCAACAU
rnacentral:pre_miRNA from 1 species